AUAAAGUUCCUUUGGGUAAGAAGCACUACUUGUCAUCAAAAUGGAUAAAAGGAGAUGUAUCUAGACGUAUUUUAGUUCUAGAUACGUCCCUUUUUAUCCAUUUUGAUGACAAGUAUUUUCGGACGGAGGGAGCUUAUA
rnacentral:pre_miRNA from 1 species